rnacentral:rRNA from 1 species
GAUUUCUGGUCUGACAUGCCUGGCCCGCCGGGGUUACCCGCGUGAGUGCCGGUGCGCGUCUACCAUCCUUCCGGAAAACGGCCUUACCCUUCACUGGGCCGAGGUCGCGAUCCGGAUCUUUUACUUUGAAAAAAUUAGAGUGUUUAAAGCAGGCUUACGCUGUGAAUACAUUAGCAUGGAAUAAUAAUUUAGGACUUUGGCCCUAUUUUGUUGGUUUCUAGGACUGAAGUAAUGAUUGAUAGGGAUAGUUGGGGGUGCUCGAAUUCAGCGGCCAGAGGUGAAAUUCUUGGAUUCGCUGAAGACGAACUCAUGCGAAAGCAUU